UGGGGAAUAUUGCACAAUGGGCGAAAGCCUGAUGCAGCAACGCCGCGUGAGGGACGACGGCCUUCGGGUUGUAAACCUCUUUUAGCAAGGAAGAAGCGAAAGUGACGGUACUUGCAGAAAAAGCGCCGGCUAACUACGUGCCAGCAGCCGCGGUAAUACGUAGGGCGCAAGCGUUAUCCGGAAUUAUUGGGCGUAAAGAGCUCGUAGGCGGUUUGUCGCGUCUGCUGUGAAAACCCGAGGCCCAACCUCGGGCCUGCAGUGGGUACGGGCAGACUAGAGUGCGGUGGGGAGAUUGGAACUCCUGGUGUAGCGGUGGAAUGCGCAGAUAUCAGGAAGAACACCGAUGGCGAAGGCAGAUCUCUGGGCCGUAACUGACGCUGAGGAGCGAAAGGGUGGGGAGCAAACAGGCUUAGAUACCCUGGUAGCCCACCCCGUAAACGUUGGGAACUAGUUGUGGGGGUCCAUUCCACGGGAUUUCCCGUGACGCAGCUAACGCAUUAAGUUCCCCGCCUGGGGAGUACGGCCGCAAGGCUAAAACUUAAAGGAAUUGACGGGGUCAUAGCUGUUUCCU
rnacentral:rRNA from 1 species